CCUGCAGUUCAGACUAGGUAAUCCACUUGAAGCUAAGCUGGUUUAGGCCUGGCCAAUAUUUGGAUGGGAGACCAACUAGGAAGGCUGGGCUGCUCCUGGA
rnacentral:rRNA from 1 species